ACCUUCCAUUUUUACGUAGGUUUUACCUUGGAAACGUUUUGGGUGAGCACACCCAUUUUUCCGGCGAACCCGUGCACUCCGAGGGCUUUUCCGGUCACCUCCGACCGAGUUACGGUGUUUGGAAGGUAAAGUUGCUAUUAAGGAAAUUCGUAAUCCUGAUUCGCGCGAUUCUUCUGCUAAGGAAUAUUUGACUUAGAAUCAAGGCACCCAAUCCCGGCGUGAAGACACUUCUGCAGCAGCAUCUUCGGAUCCUCUCGAUGUAGGACCCACUUCUUUAUUCAUUAAAUUUUAUCUUAAUUCUUUUUAGUGAUUAGGUUUAGUUGUAUGCUCUGAGCAUGUUCCUAAAACUUUUAACUCAUUGUAUUUCAAAUUUCUAACCCUUAUUUAUUUCUUAUUCUUAGCUUUUGUAUCAAUUAAUGGCUUUCGUCACCCCCGGGUG